AACGAACGCUGGCGGCAGGCCUAACACAUGCAAGUCGAACGAGAAGCCACCUUCGGGUGGUGGACAGUGGCAGACGGGUGAGUAACGCGUGGGAACGUGCCUUUCGGUUCGGGAUAACCCAGGGAAACUUGGGCUAAUACCGGAUACGCCCUUCGGGGAAGGAUUCAUUGCCGAAAGAUCGGCCCGCGUCGGAUUAGCUAGUUGGUAGGGUAAAAGCCUACCAAGGCGACGAUCCGUAGCUGGUCUGAGAGGAUGACCAGCCACACUGGGACUGAGACACGGCCCAGACUCCUACGGGAGGCAGCAGUGGGGAAUAUUGGACAAUGGGCGCAAGCCUGAUCCAGCCAUGCCGCGUGGGUGAAGAAGGCC
rnacentral:rRNA from 1 species